rnacentral:rRNA from 1 species
GAUGAACGCUGACAGAAUGCUUAACACAUGCAAGUCAACUGUGGCGGACGGGUGAGUAACGCGUAAAGAACUUGCCUCACGGAUAGGGACAACAUUUGGAAACGAAUGCUAAUACCUGAUACUGUGAGAGAGCUUUGCGUCCCAUUAGCUAGUUGGAGAGGUAACGGCUCACCAAGGCGAUGAUGGGUAGCCGGCCUGAGAGGGUGAUCGGCCACAAGGGGACUGAGACCCUGCUCUUACUGCUUCGGGAGGCAGCAGUGGGGAAUAUUGGACAAUGGACCAAAGUCUGAUCCAGCAAUUCUGUGUGCACGAUGAAGUUUUCGGAAUGUAAAGUGCUUUGAGUUGGGAAGCGGUACGAAUAGAAGACGUGACGGCUAAAUACGUGCCAGCAGCCGCGGUAAUAC